UCGAACGGUAACAGGAAGCAGCUUGCUGCUUCGCUGACGAGUGGCGGACGGGUGAGUAAUGUCUGGGAAACUGCCUGAUGGAGGGGGAUAACUACUGGAAACGGUAGCUAAUACCGCAUAACGUCGCAAGACCAAAGAGGGGGACCUUCGGGCCUCUUGCCAUCAGAUGUGCCCAGAUGGGAUUAGCUAGUAGGUGGGGUAACGGCUCACCUAGGCGACGAUCCCUAGCUGGUCUGAGAGGAUGACCAGCCACACUGGAACUGAGACACGGUCCAGACUCCUACGGGAGGCAGCAGUGGGGAAUAUUGCACAAUGGGCGCAAGCCUGAUGCAGCCAUGCCGCGUGUAUGAAGAAGGCCUUCGGGUUGUAAAGUACUUUCAGCGGGGAGGAAGGCGAUGUGGUUAAUAACCGCGUCGAUUGACGUUACCCGCAGAAGAAGCACCGGCUAACUCCGUGCCAGCAGCCGCGGUAAUACGGAGGGUGCAAGCGUUAAUCGGAAUUACUGGGCGUAAAGCGCACGCAGGCGGUCUGUCAAGUCGGAUGUGAAAUCCCGGGGCUCAACCUGGGAACUGCAUCCGAAACUGGCAGGCUUGAGUCUCGUAGA
rnacentral:rRNA from 1 species